GCUGGGAAGUAAUUAUGCACCACAGCUGCAGUUACAAACACACCUUUCCUAGCGAUCCUUUCAAGUGAGCGCACGGACCACUCCUUUCCUUCCCACAAAGACGUCUUAAUGCUUAACGUAGCGAGAAUAAACGAAAGAGCGAUGAGCUAUUAAAACAGCAUUGCAACUCUACGGUUCCGGUUCACCAAGAAGCACCUCCUAGAACUCCAAAUGAAAAGAGGCAUUAACAAGUGGAAGCUGAGUUACAGAGGAGAUCAUUGUAGAUCAGCCAAUCCCAAGAAAAUGUGGAUGCUGCAGAGCUGCUUGUAUCCACAGACCUGGGAACCUUCCAGCUGCCAUGACACUGUCUACCACAGGAUACCAGAUAAGGUGUAAGAGGCACAAGAUAAGGUGUUUUAUUAUGGUUAGGUCAAUAUUCUUGUAGAAAGUUGCAAGGCUUCUUGGCCGAGUGGAAGAGGAAGAAGAGGACAGAAGCAUGCCAAGGUCUGCUCAUGUCUCUGUCUAGGGGCUGCAGCUGUCAAAGACAGGAGAAGCACCAACUGAAGCAGCCACCCUCUGAUGCCCCUUGCCUCCCUGCCCAGGGCUCUCCCAGCCUCAUACCAAAGCUGUCCAUUACAUGCCUCCCUGAUGGCCACAAGACACCAGUGCUGGGGCCACCACCAGCAUUCUACCCACUCUGGCAUGGGCAGUACCUCACUAGGGCUAGUGCCAGCAGCUCAGCCCCAGGGUACCCUGUGAAAAAGGGCACAAAACUCCCUUUGCCCAUGGCUUUAGGUAGCUUCCAGCUCCCUCAAAGGCCACCGUGCGGUAGGGGUUGGUGCUGCCUUACCUGUCCUGUAGACUGUUGGAACAUGUGCAGCUUACUUGCAGAGGAGGGAAAGGACAGGAGGGUGCUGUGGCCUGCUGGCUUCCCUGUCCGGAUGUCCAGCUGCAGUAGAAAGCAGCCAUCCUCCAUCACCAUGGGCAGCCCCUGCCCUCAUGCCCUCCUGUCCCUGCCCAGCACAGAAGUAAGUGGCAUGGAACAAGAGGUGAAAAAAGGUGGGCCUGUAGGAAAAUCCAGGUUGGAAAGCAUGCCAGGAAGUCCCCCGUGCAACCUCUUGCUCAAGGCAGCAUCAGCAAGGAGGUUUGGAGUUUUCAGAUCCAUUCUUUUUUAGAUCAACGGAAACAUUUUUGCUGAGAGCUAUGUGGUGACUCCACAUGUGUUUGUGACUUCUGGUGUGGGUGUGACUGGCCAAAACUAUUGACUGUGGGGUUGCCAGUGGCACCUUUUUGGAAAGAAGCUGCCCGGGCUUCCCCUUCAACACAGGCUCUUCAGGCACUGCUCCUAAACACUCCUUCUGCCGUGUGGAAAGUCGACUUUACAACCAGUGAGGUUAUACAGUAGGUAUGUUUAUUCAGCACUGGACACAUGGGGGAUCACUCCUCCACAGCGUGCGUGCCCUGGAGCCAAAAGCGGCCCCCUUUUAUGAUGCCAAAGUUACAUAUUCAUCAGUCUUAAUACAUAUGCAUUAUAAUUCCAGGAAUAGGGAGGAAAUAUUACAAUUAAUUCCGAGAAAUCAUUAACAUAUCCCCCGCCCCAAGUCCCUCCCCAUCGCACCUGCGCAAUGUAUCUUGGUGGUCGUGGACAGGGGUCUUCUGAUGAAGGCUCGUAGUCUUCUUCACUGUGUUUGCUAGUUGACCCUUGCUUUCGCGCAGACUCAGUUCUGUAGUUAACGCACAUCUCAUCCUUCAGGCCUUGUGGGAUGUGGUUUGUUGCUAACUUGCAGCUCCUUUAUCUUGGUGGCUCAGUAGUUCCUUCCUUAUCUCAAGGACAAUGGUGCGCUCAUCCUGUUUUUCUCUCAUUCAUUCGCGAGGGAGUUAUCUAGUUAAUGUUUUCUUGAGAAACCAUCUGGUUAAUGCUUCUUCAUUCAUACAUCACUUCCUCCAGUGCUUCCACCAGUGGCCAAACUUUGCUGUGCUUUCAUGGCAGCCUGCUUCUGGGCUGUCCCUGGAAACCUGGGAGGCUUGGAGGCCAGAACUUUGCUGCCCUGAUAGAGAUCAAGCCAAGGCGUGUGCAUCGGCAAGAGGGCCUCAUUUCUCUGGGAUGGGUAUUGCUACCCAGCCAGUGCGUCCCCAGAAGAGCAGAGUAAGCCCUGCCUGCCUGCCAGGUACAGCCACGAGGUGUCUUGACUGGAGGAGUCAGGCUGCUGUUGUAGAGGAGUGAGAGGGAAAGUCUAAGACUGGUGUGACUGGGGAGCGACCAGAGAGUCUGGGUGCAGAGGCACCAGCAGGAGGUGUAGUAGAAUUUCUGACAGAGAAUGGCCACGAUAUUUUGUUGCAAGGUUUGGACAAUCCAGGCCUGAGAUCAGACUGCUAACAACACCUGUGUUAU